UACGCAGGGGGCUAGCGUUGCUCGGAAUCACUGGGCGUAAAGGGUGCGCAGGCGGGUCUUUAAGUCAGGGGUGAAAUCCUGGAGCUCAACUCCAGAACUGCCUUUGAUACUGAAGAUCUUGAGUUCGGGAGAGGUGAGUGGAACUGCGAGUGUAGAGGUGAAAUUCGUAGAUAUUCGCAAGAACACCAGUGGCGAAGGCGGCUCACUGGCCCGAUACUGACGCUGAGGCACGAAAGCGUGGGGAGCAAACAGG
rnacentral:rRNA from 1 species